rnacentral:rRNA from 1 species
UACGGAGGGUGCGAGCGUUGUCCGGAGUCACUGGGCGUAAAGGGCGCGUAGGUGGCGCGAGGAGUCAACGGUGAAAGCUCGGCGCUCAACGCCGAGUCGGCCGUCGAUACUCUCGUGCUUGAGCACUGUAGAGGCAGAUGGAAUUCCGGGUGUAGCGGUGGAAUGCGUAGAGAUCCGGAAGAACACCGGUGGCGAAGGCGGGUCUCUGGGCCGUAACUGACGCUGAGGAGCGAAAGCGUGGGGAGCGAACAGG